AUAAAACAUUAGAGAGAGAGGGGGGGAAAAAAAACGCUGAAUUCAAAAUUCUUUGCAUACAAACAUGAUUUGAAUUGUGCAAAUAAAAUGUCAAAUCUGUAAGCGAGCAAUAAAGAAAAUAAAAAACUACAAUGAAGAUGUAAAUUUAUAUAGAUAUCAUAUUCAUAGGUUAAAACCGUCAAGUACAGUUGGUACUAUUAGUUUGUGGUGUCUUUAGAGACAGCCCACAAGCAAACAUGUUCUUUUACUUCAACCCCACUGACCUGGCUGUUCUCAUGACUCAUGGUUGAGUAAAUAUUCAGUCAACUUGAAGCAUCUUUGCUGAUGUAACAGGUAACCAACCUUACUAAAAAGUAUCCAAAAUAAUAUUAUCUGUUGACUGGUUGAGAGGUUUGGGGCUGGGAGACCAGUUUAAAUAAGCUAAGACCAUUUUAAACUUAACUUAACCAGCGGUUUUUUUCAGAGGAAGAAUUAAGCAUAAUAAUGAAGUAUUUGACCUCAACCCAUAUUGUUGUUAUAUGUCAAGUUUAUUUUAAAUCAUCCAGUUUACACAAAUAGGACGGGCUUGUGAUUAAGAUCUUUCCAACAGGUUCUAUUUUCUUUACAAAAACAAAAACUUAAGCCAGCCUAAGGUUUGUUGGUCUUGGGUCUGGAUGAGCUGAAAAGUGCCAAUCCCCUCUAAACCAGCCAGCAAACCAGCCUGGAAGACCAUCUAAAACCAAUGCUCCUGUGAUGCAUGCGACUGAUUUCACUCAUUCCAGAGCUGAACCUGCUGGAGAGCCAAAAUUAUUUUAUUAUUUUAACAGACAUAAUUGAGGAAUUAAAAUGUUAGCAGUUAAA